rnacentral:rRNA from 1 species
AUUAGAUACCCUGGUAGUCCAUGCUGUAAACGAUGAAUGCUAGGUGUGGGGGGACUGACCCCUUCCGUGCCGGAGUUAACACAAUAAGCAUUCCACCUGGGGAGUACGACCGCAAGGUUGAAACUCAAAGGAAUUGACGGGGGCCCGCACAAGCAGUGGAGUAUGUGGUUUAAUUCGAAGCAACGCGAAGAACCUUACCAGGUCUUGACAUCCAACUAACGAAGCAGAGAUGCAUUAGGUGCCCUUCGGGGAAAGUUGAGACAGGUGGUGCAUGGUUGUCGUCAGCUCGUGUCGUGAGAUGUUGGGUUAAGUCCCGCAACGAGCGCAACCCCCAUCGCCAGUUGCCAACAGGUAAAGCUGGGAACUCUGGCGAGACUGCCGGCGCAAGCUGCGAGGAAGGCGGGGAUGACGUCAAAUCAGCACGGCCCUUACGUCCGGGGCGACACACGUGUUACAAUGGCAGGUACAGCGGGAAGCCACCGGGCGACCGGGAGCAGAACCCGAAAACCUGUCUCAGUUCGGAUUGGAGUCUGCAACUCGACUCCAUGAAGCUGGAUUCGCUAGUAAUCGCGCAUCAGCCACGGCGCGGUGAAUACGUUCCCGGGCCUUGUACACACCGCCCGUCAAGCCAUGGGAGUCGGGAGUGCCUGAAGUACGUGACCGCAAGGAGCGUCCUAAGGCAAAACUGAUGACUGGGGCUAAGUCGUAACAAGGUACCAAGGCG